CUUGACCUCAAAUCAGGCGGGACUACCCGCUGAACUUAAGCAUAUCAAUAAGCGGAGGAAAAGAAACUAACAAGGAUUCCCCUAGUAACUGCGAGUGAAGCGGGAAAAGCUCAAAUUUAAAAUCUGGCGGCCUCCGGUCGUCCGAGU
rnacentral:rRNA from 1 species